rnacentral:lncRNA from 1 species
AUUUGGGUGGGGACACAGCCAAACCAUAUCAAAUCCUUAGUAACACGAGCAUUUUAUGAUGUUAUAAAAUCACUCUUCUUCUUUGUUUUUGUUGUUUCAUGAGUGAUGGAUAACUUCAGAAGAUUGUGUUGGCAGUUAGCAAGGUUUGAAAGAGGUGUGUUCAAAAUUUGAUAGAUUUUUGACUAUUUAAAAAUAAUUGUUGAGGAGGAGCAGUUCUCAUGUGGCCUUCAUGCAGAGGGAACUUAGAAGUGUAAGCCUCCUGACUUCUGUCUGUCCCUUCACCCACUCUGCCUCAAAGCGGCUAGACUGAUUUUCGGAUUGGUCUAUUUGAAAUGGAUAUGAUUGAGUUUAAUACCUCUAUCCCUCUUCCUUUGGGAGUGAGCUGUCUACAUGAUAAUCCUUUCUCCACCACUCCGUGGGGUCAGCCUUCUCCCCAUCUGCAGGAGGCAGCUCUCACUGAGUACCACCUACCACCACUGAGUUCAGUGGACAAUGAGGACACCCAACCGCCUCGUUCUGAGUUGUGUCUUCCAACUUCAUCUUUAGUAACUCAUCUCUUAUCUCUUCACCUCCCUGUCUUACUUUUCUAAAUGUUCAUCACUCUAACUGGGAAGUGAGAUACUGUGUAUUAGGCCCCCAGCCCUCACAAACUCCAGCAAUGAACACUAAGCUACACAAGGUGGAUACAAAUAACUAUUGAUUGUUUUGCGAGGUGAGUAGUUUGUAUUAGGUAGAAGAAGAAAGGGUAGGUGAAUCUUCUUUCCUUCAAGGAACAUGUAAUGACACAUAAACGGUUAGAAACAAUAAGAGAGGGAUUAUAGGCCUUAAAUGAGUGGAGCAGACAGAACUAAGGAAAAUUAGAGGAGAAAGAUAUUGGUUGGAAAGCCUAAUAGGGAGUUAAAGUUUCAGCUGAGCUUUAAGGGAAGGUUGGUACAUGCAUUCCAAAAAGUGCAGAGUGUUCUAUUAAUGGAAAAGUAAGCACAUCAAGCUGGUUCUAUUGCAAAUAUAUAUUUAAAAUUACAUCCUGUAAGUAACUGAAACCUCUAUCAUUACAUUAAAAAAUGUAAAACCUUCUGGAGCAGCCGAGUACAUGGCAGCAGCUGCAACAUCAGCAUGUUCCGUCUCACUCUUUGCACAGACAGCACAACUGCUAGUGAUGUUCACAAUAGACUUGGGAGAAAUUUUGACACGGAAUAACUGUGAUAUUUAAGGAAGAAAAAAAACGCUGAAAGUUGAUGCAAAAACUGAAGUCUCUCCCAUGUAAUUACAAUGAACAUGCUAAACAAAGAUGGAAUUAACCCUGAGAACUUAAAGCCAACAAGAGGAGUUGGCUGCACCUGCAUCAGAACAAAAUGUGGUUGGUCCCUGACCUGGCAUAAGACAGGAAAGUCACCUGUGUAGUAGAAUUGUGGGCACAAGCACACACUUCAUUCAGGCGAAGGCUCAGUGAGAGACCUUAUGUCCUGUCCUGCCCUGAGAGAUGGAGGCUUUUAGAUAAGCAGAGGAAAGGGGGUAAGACACCCAGCACAUGGAGGGAAAACAAAAGUCUCAAGCAGGAAAGUAUAGAAGAUACUUAGAGAAGACAGGGCAGGAGUGCAGAGAUUUUGAUGUCUAUAAACCUUGGUUGACCUUGAAGAUUUAUCUUUUAAUGCCAUUAUCUCAUGUUAAUUAAUAAUGGCAACUUAACUUUUUGUCUUCAUGGCAUUGUGACAACACUGCCUUUCAGCAGCCAUAGUGAUGUUACUGAUCUGCUUUUGCCUGGUUUUCUAUGAGUAAACUGUGUGCUGAGCCAGCCACGUGCUGUGACUCAGGCCUUCUUAUGACCAGUACCACCAGGCACUCACACUGCUGUUGGCCAAGAGCUGCCUGUGGCCAUACAGCAGAGACAAAUUAAUACUAACACCAUCCUUACGUUUGGGAGACAGGCUAACAGUUUACAGGCUCCAGAGCACUUUCACAUCCCUUCACAUUUAAUCCUUGGAUCACAUCUGGUGUUAUUCAGGCACAACUGGAAGGCCACGUGCUGGUGGACCACAUCUGGAAUAGCCUAUGUUGAGAGACACAUCUGGCACUCUUCCCCCAUCACCUUCCUUCUUUUCUCUUCAGAGAACUUGGGACACGGAGUCAAGACACCUUGCUUUCAAGCCCAGGUCUUCUAUUAACUGACCAUGGGCUUGUAGGCAAAGUCACACCACUUCUCUGGGUAUAAUUGCAUACUGGGUGAUUUCUAAAGCCUCUUCCUGCUCCAAGAUACUAUUAUGCUGUGACAAACUGGAGAAGUAGACAGUGACGAUAUUGAUAGGGAACCUCCUUAAAAAUGGAGACCCUGUUAUUCAGAGAAUUUAAUGGCUUCUAAUCCAGGAUUACACAGAUGGUAAGCAGUAACAUCUCUGGUUGUUUCAUUUAGUGUUUUUUCCACUACAUUGCACACAUGUGCGUGAGCACAAUGUGGAUUAACCUUGACCCGCUUAGCUCUAGCUCAGAUAACCAGAUGCAGAUGGAGGAAUCCAUGCUUUCAGCGAAAUUACAUUAAUUACUUGGACGGUAUGUGGCUAAAUAAGAUUCCACAAACUGACAGCCUGCAGACAGGAUUUGUCCUGAAGCCCUGUUUUGUUUGGCCCCUAGCGUGUUUUAUUUAAAAAAUUGACAUGUUGCUAUACUUUAAAUUUGGGAUAUUUACAUAAAAAUCCAAAAUUUCAAGUUCUCUUAAAAAGCCAAAAGAUUUAUGAUUGGCUGAAAUGGGCUCAUCAUUAUAUUGUCCCUUCAGUUAGUGUUUUCAAACUUCCAUACUGUUGACAUUUUGGGCUGGAUAAUUCUUUGUUGUGGAGAGGCUGUCCUGUGGAUUUUGGGAUGUCUAGCAGUAUCCCUAGCCUGUGCUCAGCAGAUGCCAGUAGCACCUUCUCCUCUGUUGUGACAAUCAGUGUGACAUUUCCAAAUGUCCUUUGGCUGGGGGGCACAAAAUUCCCUUAUGUUGAGAAUGAUUGUUGUAGGCAUUUGAAUAGGAAUCCUUGGAAAACAGAAGAGCUGGAGAAGAUGUAGUCCAAUGCUCUCAGUUUACAGAGAAGGAAACUGAAGCCCAACCGGAGAGGUUAAGUAACUUGCCCACGGUGACACAAUUGGAACAAUGGUGACAGACCUAGGACUGGAACCCAGGUCCUCUGACACCUUGUGCAGUGCAUUUUUCACCUAGAUCUGCUUCCAAAGCCCUCACCUGCCAACUGUGUGAGAUGACGGGUACAUUAAUUUGCUAAUUUCCCACCCACUUUAAUUGCUGAUCAGGAAGGCCUGACGGCUGCUUUCACUUCCUUGCAAGUGUGUCCAGAGGCAAGCAGAGCAGCUCCCCAUUCCAAGGGAGCAUUUCCUGGAUAUAGGCGGCCCAUAUUGUUUCACUCAGAUUGGAAGGGGUGUUGCAUAAACAUUUGCCUUAUUCUCUGAUCCAGUCAUUUAAAUAAGAUUUUUCUCAUUCCCAGCCAAUUCAGAUCAUCAGUCUCUUUUGCAUUCUUGAAUCAACAUUUCCUCCAAAGCCGCUAAGAAAGUGUACAGCCAGAAACAAAUGUUUGUGUGAAGUCAUUUGUCACUCUGCAAAUUCCUUAGGAAUGUGGUUAUACAACAAACAGUUGGAUGUUAUCAUUUAUAUGCCUAGAAUUUGUUUCAUUAUCUGAAAGCUCAUCCUUUUUGAUAAAAAAAAUUUUAGAAGUAUAUUAAUGAUUUAUCACAGGAAGUAUUUACUUUUCACAAUAAUAAAUUCCUCUGAUGUGAGAAAGUACCUACCAGGCUCACUGGACCAGAAGCCCUGAGUGCUUAGGCUUCAGUUUUGGCUCUGUCACUAUCCAAACUGAUGGCCUAAACAGGGCCAUAUCUUUCUCAACAGUGUUUUCUGAGCUACCACUGAGAUCCCUUGACACUCUCAUAUUGUAUGAGUCAUAUUCCUGUUUCAUCUAUUAUAGUCCCUGUGAGCUUUCUCCUAUAAUUGAGUCUUGUUCUACCUGGUUUGACUACUGCAUUUUUGAUAGAGAAAGCCCAGGAAACACCUAUUGUAAAAUGUUAUUCAUUUACCCACUUACAGUGGGACCAGCCCACAGGUUAAUUUGAAAUUUUUCUAGUUGUCAGUGAAAUAUCUUAGUUAGAAAGUAACUUUGCCAGACAGUAAUUUUAAACUCUGCUUUGUGGGUACAAUAGUCCCCUCUUAUCCAAGAGGGAUAUGGUCCAACACUGCUAGUGGGUGCCUGAAAUCAUGGAUUGUAGGAACCCAAUCAAACACAGUUCUGUUCACAUCCACCCACAAAUUUAAUACCUUUUCCAUCCUAACUAAGCGCUUGUCAUGCACUGUGGCCAUAAUUUUGCAGUUUAAAGGGCAACAGCAAAACUAGCACACAUUUUUUUUUUCCUCUCCACAAUUUAACAGAUAGGUCUGUUUUUACUGUAGGUUUUAGCAACUUCAGCAUACAAUUCUUUUUUUCUUAUUAAGUUGAGAACCUCCUCCUUUUCAUGUAAAGAAGACUAUGGUUUCUUUUUGGUAUAUCCAAAUUGCCUUGCAUCACUACUCUUGUGGUUAGGACCUUUAUGAAGUAACAUAAGGGUCCCUUGAACACAAGCACUCUGCUAUCAUGACAACAGAUCUGUUAACCAAGAAAUCUACUAAGUAAAUCACAGGCAGGGAGGGUAGAUAGCAUGAAGACGCUGGACAAAGAGAGGAUUAACCUCCUGGGUAAGAUGGGGAGGGAGGGCACACAGUUUAAAACGUAUGAAUUGUUUAUGUCGGAAUUUUCCAUUUAAUAUUUUCAGACCACGGUUGACCACAGGUAACUGAAACCACAGGAAUGAGAUGACAGGGAUACUGAGGGGCUACUUGUGAGAUGGCAAAAAAGAGAUAUGGCAACCAGAAUUUCCCUCAGUCGCCCCUGACAAGUUCUCCUACAUCUUCACACAAAGAGAAGUCUGGCCUAGGAGGUGGAGGAUGCAGCGCACCAAGAUCGCACCACUGUACUCCAGGAUGGGCACCAGAGUGAGACCUUGUCUCAAAAAAAAAAAAAAAAAAAAAAUGGUCCCCAGUGUGGGAGAUGGGGCCUGGUGGAAGGUGUGUGGGUCGGGUCAUGAGAGUGGAUCCUUCAUGAGGUGCUUGGUGCAGUCUUCACUGUAAUGAGUCAGUUCAUACAAGAUCUGGUUGUUUAGAAGAGUGUGACACCCUUCCCAUCUCUCUCUUGCUCCCUCUCUUGCCACGUGGCACAUCUGCUCCUCCUUUGCCUUCUGCCAUGAUUGGAAGCUUCCUAAAACCCUCACCAGAAGCAGAUGCCAGCACCAUGCUUCUUGUAGAGCCUGCAGAACCAUAAGCCAAAUAAACCUCUUUUCUUUAUAAAUUACCCAGCCUCAAGUAUUCCUUUAUAGCCAUGCAAAACUGAGACAACACACAUAUAAAAAGUUCAUCCCCCAAACAUUUAGGUGUUCCUCAUCCUAAAGGACCUCAGUUAUGGUGUCAUCACCUUGUUGGCCAAGUGAAAAGUUUGGAGAUGUUUGAUCACCUCACGGGUAGUUCAGAUGUCAUGAGGGCAUGGAGUUUCCAUUGGGAACAAAGGGAAGAGAAGGUGUUUUGGAAGAAAGAGGUUAAUUCUCAGCCUGGAGCAUGUGAGGAAAGGCAGGAGAUAGGGACGGAGGUGCAGGUUUUGCGCAGGCAGGGUCAAGUGUAAGGAUCCAAACUAGGGCAGAGGCUAGAAAAUGAGUGAAGGGGGUGGGAGGAGAAAAAGGAGCUCCAGACUCUCUCUUGUCCUUGCCAGUAACUGGUAAUGAGUGGGUCCCCCUCCUUCACUGGGGAAUACCCCUUGGCAGGACAUUCCUCCAACCCCCUAGACGAGAAACGUUCCUAUUUUCUUUUCUCCUCAGCUUCCAGUGAGAAUGUUUCCAGAUGGGAACACCGUAAUGCAUGGGAUUAUUUCACAGACAGGACAAGGUUGUACCAGACAGGCUGGGGUCAGGAGGUGUCAUGAUCCCAUCUCACAGAAAACACACUCCAAUAAGCAACCAAAGAAGUAAUUUGAAUUAAUUCAUAGUUUUAUCCAGUCCCUCUAAAACAGUUCAAAAUGGGACUGGGGAAGAGAAAGUGCAUUUUCAUGUCAUAGAAAAGCAGCAAAACGUUGUACAAAUUCAUUCUCCCUUAACUUCACCACUUUUUGUAUCCACCACUCCUGUAUCUUCUGAAGCUUUCUCUCAUUUUUCAACUCCCAACCUUAAUUCCCAUUCUCUUCCCAAUAUAAAUAUACUAGCUUCUCCAGGUCACCCCCAGUUAUUUACUUACACCAAACUUCAUAAUAAGGUCUAGGUGAAUGUGUGAUUGCGUGGCGGGAGGACAUUUUGAUUUGUCUUCUGUCUUCCCCCGCCAGAGUGUAAACUCGUUGGUGGGUUAGAGACUUCACUCCCUUCUGCCUGGAGCAACACCUGGCUUGUACUGAGUACUCAGUGACAUUCAUUAAUCAAUGAAUAUGCUUAUAUUUUGUAUCCAUGUUCCCUAAGGGGUAAUUACAUUGUUUGUAGCUGCACUUACCAACCUUAUACUGGGAAUUACUCUGUAUAUUAAAAGGCAAAGCAUUGAAU